rnacentral:rRNA from 1 species
UACGUAGGGGCGAGCGUUGUCCGGAUUCAUUGGGCGUAAAGAGCUCGUAGGCGGCUUGGUAAGUCGGGUGUGAAACCUCCAGGCUCAACCUGGAGACGCCACUCGAUACUGCCAUGGCUAGAGUCCGGUAGGGGCCCACGGAAUUCCUGGUGUGAGCGGUGAAAUGACGCAGAUAUCAGGAGGAACACCGGUGGCGAAGGCGGUGGGCUGGGCCGGAACUGACGCUGAGGAGCGAAAGCGUGGGGAGCGAACAGG